rnacentral:tRNA from 1 species
GGAAAGGUGCUCGAGUGGUUUAAGAGGCACGCUUGGAAAGCGUGUGUGCGGCAAAACUGUACCGGGGGUUCGAAUCCCUUCCUUUCCG